rnacentral:rRNA from 1 species
AGUGGCGGACGGGUGAGUAACGCGUGAGAAUCUGCCUUGGGGUCGGGGACAACCACUGGAAACGGUGGCUAAUACCGGAUAAGCCGAUUGGUGAAAGAUUUAUUGCCCGAAGAGGAGCUCGCGUCUGAUUAGCUAGUUGGUGAGGUAAGAGCUCACCAAGGCAGCGAUCAGUAGCUGGUCUGAGAGGACGAUCAGCCACACUGGGACUGAGACACGGCCCAGACUCCUACGGGAGGCAGCAGUGGGGAAUUUUCCGCAAUGGGCGAAAGCCUGACGGAGCAAGACCGCGUGAGGGAGGAAGGCUCUUGGGUUGUAAACCUCUUUUCUCAGGGAAGAAGCUCUGACGGUACCUGAGGAAUCAGCCUCGGCUAACUCCGUGCCAGCAGCCGCGGUAAUACGGAGGAGGCAAGCGUUAUCCGGAAUUAUUGGGCGUAAAGCGUCCGCAGGUGGCGAUUCAAGUCUACUGUCAAAGCACGGGGCUUAACUCCGUAAAGGCAGUGGAAACUGAAUAGCUAGAGUGCCGUAGGGGUAGAGGGAAUUCCCGGUGUAGCGGUGAAAUGCGUAGAGAUCGGGAAGAACAUCGGUGGCGAAAGCGCUCUACUGGACGGCAACUGACACUCAGGGACGAAAGCUAGGGGAGCGAAUGGGAUUAGAUACCCC